GAGGAGGAGGAGGAGAAGAGGAGGCUCCCCUGCUCACAAGAAACUCUGAGAUGUCAGUGUAGCCAAGUGCUAUAGCCAUGGAGAGUGGAGUAGCACCUCGGUUGCUCUUGGCAUUAACAUUAGCUCCUCUGCCGACCAACACCUCAACUGUCUCUAAACUGCCACUUUCCACUGCCAAAUGCAAGGGGACAUGGCCUUCAUUGUCCUGGCAUUCCAAAUCUACACCAAAUUCAACUAGCAUUGAUACUAUGUUCUUGUGCCCUUUGAUUGCUGCUGCAUGCAAGGCUGUGAUACCAUAUUGAUCCUUAUAGUUUUUGCUUGCACCUUUCUUUAAUAACGAUUCAAGGUGUUCCAAUCUCCCUUGCCUUGCUGCCAUUAGCACUACUUCCCCACGUUCCAGAGUCUCCAAAAUCUCAUCCUGCAUUGUCAUCAAUAAAGAAUGAUUCUUGAUAUUUUGAAGAUAAAAUAUGGAACUAAAUUUCUAGUUGGAUUCCCUACUUUGUAGCACACUUACAUAUCCCUUAUCUCGCGCAACAUCAAAAGCUGAACGGCCGCGAUCAUCUGCAAUGGUGGGGUCGCAACCCAUCUCAAUUAGCAUCUCUACCAUCCUACGGUCACCAUUUGCCGCUGCUCUGUACAGUGCAGUCCUACCGUCGUUGCUCUUAGCAUCCUUGUCUGCACCCGAUUCCACUAACACCCUAGCACACUUGAUAUUCCCCCUACUUGCCGCCAAAUGCAACGGUGUCCUUCCUUCCUUAUCUCUCAAAUCCAAAGGCCCAAAACUAUCCAAUGAAUCUAGAACCUCUUCCGUCCUAUCCAAUGCGAUCGCCACGUGUAGAUCACUCCAGCCCUUGGAUUGCCAUUUUGGAUCCACCUGAUAAAAACUCACAUUCUCCGCUUUCGCACGUGAGUCAAUCUUCAACCCAGCUUCAAGCAGUAAGUUCACCAUACCCUCCGGGUCAGCCAGCUCGGUGGCAACUCGGAGGAGCGACUCAGCAUCUCUCGGAGACAACUCAGCAAGAAUCGACCUUUGCCUCUUUAUUAUAUUCUUCGCGGAGUUAACAUCUCCACAGCUGACAGCGUGGCGGAGAAGAAAGGGACCUACGAAGGCUACCUUGAGCUUAAGAUCUUGAGUUGACCAGUGAGGAAGAGAAGAGAACCACGAGUUGAGAGAAUCGGGGUGAGUCGAGUCGGAAGAGUCUGGGGAAAACGGUGCCGUUUUGAUGAGGAAACGAUCAGAUGGAGACCGAGGGAAAGAGGGUGGGAGAUGGGUUUGGGGUCUGAGUAUGAUUUGAAAGGUGGUAAAGGAUGAAGGAGGAAUAAGCCCAGUCGGUGGGUUAACCAGGAACUUGUGAGGCGAUGACGUUUGCACCUUGAAGGCUAUUUGGGUGGUGGCAGAGAGAGACCUGAGGCGGACGUUGGCUCGGCAUUUGGAAUUGAGCAUAAAGUCUAGACGAACCUCUGAGUCUGAUACUUCGACAAGCGGCCUCUCCAUGGGAGAUAUAGGGAAAGAGAAGUCAGAAGCGGCCGGUUUAUUGUGUUGAUUAACGGAGAGGGAAGAUUUUAGUAUUGGAG
rnacentral:misc_RNA from 1 species